CCUACGGGGGCUGCAGUGGGGAAUAUUGGACAAUGGGCGAAAGCCUGAUCCAGCCAUGCCGCGUGUGUGAAGAAGGCCUUCGGGUUGUAAAGCACUUUCAGUGGGGAAGAAAGCCUUGGGGCUAAUACCCUCGAGGAAGGACAUCACCCACAGAAGAAGCACCGGCUAACUCCGUGCCAGCAGCCGCGGUAAUACGGAGGGUGCGAGCGUUAAUCGGAAUUACUGGGCGUAAAGCGCGCGUAGGCGGUCUGAUAAGCCGGUUGUGAAAGCCCCGGGCUCAACCUGGGAACGGCAUCCGGAACUGUCAGGCUAGAGUGCAGGAGAGGUAGGUAGAAUUCCCGGUGUAGCGGUGAAAUGCGUAGAGAUCGGGAGGAAUACCAGUGGCGAAGGCGGCCUUCUGGACUGACACUGACGCUGAGGUGCGAAAGCGUGGGUAGCAAACAGGAUUAGAUACCCCAGUAGUC
rnacentral:rRNA from 1 species